UCCAGACUCCUACGGGAGGCAGCAGUGGGGGAUAUUGCACAAUGGGGGAAACCCUGAUGCAGCGACGCCGCGUGUGGGAAGACGGUCCUCUGGAUUGUAAACCACUGUCCCCAGGGACGAAAAUGACGGUACCUGGGGAGGAAGCUCCGGCUAACUACGUGCCAGCAGCCGCGGUAAUACGUAGGGGGCGAGCGUUAUCCGGAUUCACUGGGUGUAAAGGGAGCGUAGACGGCCAAGCAAGCCAGGGGUGAAAGCCCGGGGCCCAACCCCGGGACUGCAUUGGAAACUGCGAGGCUGGAGUGUCGGAGAGGCAGGCGGAAUUCCUAGUGUAGCGGUGAAAUGCGUAGAUAUUAGGAGGAACACCAGUGGCGAAGGCGGCCUGCUGGACGAUGACUGACGCUGAGGCUCGAAAGCGUGGGGAGCAAACAGGAUUAGAUACCCGAGUA
rnacentral:rRNA from 1 species